UACAGAGGGCGCGAGCGUUAAUCGGAAUUACUGGGCGUAAAGCGUGCGUAGACGGUAGCGUAAGUCAGAUGUGAAAGCCCCGGGCUCAACCUGGGAACUGCAUUUGGGACUGCAAGGCUGGAGUGCGGCAGAGGAGACUGGAAUUCCUGGUGUAGCAGUGAAAUGCGUAGAUAUCAGGAGGAACACCGAUGGCGAAGGCAGGUCUCUGGGCUGACACUGACGCUCAUGCACGAAAGCGUGGGGAGCAAACAGG
rnacentral:rRNA from 1 species